AUGGCUGGUAGAUGUUUUGCCUCAAUAUUUUGGGGUGUGGUGGCAGAUCGUAUUGGAAGAAAACCUAUCAUUGCGUUCUCCCUCUUCACAGUGGUAAUAUUUAAUACUUUAUUUGGACUGAGUACAAAGUAUUGGAUGGCGAUUACCACAAGAAUGCUUCUUGGUUCACUUAAUGGCAUGCUUGCCCCAAUAAAGGCUUAUUCAGCUGAAGUUUGUCGGCCUGAACAUCAUGCUCUAGGAUUAUCCAUUGUAAGCACUGGUUGGGGCAUAGGUCUUGUUAUCGGUCCAUCUAUUGGAGGAUUUUUGGCACAGCCUGCAAAGCAAUAUCCAAAUCUAUUUUCAGAUAAGUCAAUUUUUGGGAGGUUUCCUUAUUUCCUGCCAUGCCUUUGUAUUUCACUGGUUGCGUUGGUUGUUUUAAUAAGCUGCAUAUGGCUACCGGAGACUCUUCAUAUGCAUAAAAACUUGCGAAGAGAAGUAGAAAUGGUUGAUGACUCAAGUUCGAUUCCCAGUGGAGAAGCAUAUACGAAUUCAGAGAAGAGCCUAUAUCGGAACUGUCCAUUGAUGUCCUCUAUAAUUGCCUAUUGUGUUUUCACCCUUCAUGACACGGCAUACAGCGAGAUACUUGCCUUGUGGGCUGUAAGUGACAAAAGCUACGGUGGACUAAGCUUGGCAUCUAAAGAUGUCGGUCAAAUUCUUGCGGUUUCAGGUGCUGGUCUUCUUGCGUACCAACUGCUGGUUUACAGACAUGUUCAUAAAUAUCUCGGAUCCAUCGUAUCAUCCCGCAUUGCAGCUGCUCUGUCCAUACCUCUUCUUGCUGCUUACCCGUUCAUGUCACAACUAUCAGGGACUAGAUUUGGGUUAGCUAUUUAUUUUGCCACAAUUUUAAAGGGUACUUUGGCGACGACUAUCUUAACAGGCACUUGCAUUCUGCAAAACAAUGCUGUGGUAAAUAUCAAGUCAAUUCAAUUACUUGGAUUUUGUUUGCGCAAUUAUUGCUUAUGGGUAGCUAAUCAAGUUUACUUUAAACGACAGCCACAAAAUCAAAGAGGUGCUGCAAACGGCGUAUCUACAACUGCAAUGUCCCUGUUCAAGGCUAUCGCUCCAGCAGGAGCAGGUGCUCUGUGA
rnacentral:rRNA from 1 species